rnacentral:misc_RNA from 1 species
GCAGCCUUUAACACAUUUAGGAUAACGGGAAUUGCUACUUUUACUUGCUCAAAGUGACGCCUUUGCAGGGAAAUGAAUACUUUUGAGAGCCCUCUUAGAAUAGAAGCAACAUAGCCAGAUGCAUAAAUCGGCCUAUCUGUAGCACUCAAAGCCCCGCAAAGAAUUGAAAGCAUAUCGCGUGGACUACAUAUCUCUAUAAAACGAUCAAUAAUUCUAUCAGCAAUCUCCAAGCAUCUACUUGACAAGCCUGCAAACUUUGAAGCCACCUUCGGCAACUCGAAGGAAAGUGCAUCAAUAACCUCCUGGUCUAAAGUAGGAGAAAGCAAAAAUCUUUGGAUCUCGUAGAGAACUUCUAAUGCAUUGUUUUGUGCAUCUUCGUCUU